UUUGGAUCGAUGAUGAUUAUGAAAAAACUGCGUUAUAAAUUCCUUAAUUGGAUUUGAUGAUACUUUAAACUUCUUUAGAUCCUUC